UUUCUACAUCGUAGGAUUUGGAAACAUUGUGAUGUUUUUCUCAUGAAUAUACGUUUAAAAUAAAUAAACACUAAAAGUACACGCUGACAGUUGAUUACGAUACAUCUAACAAUUUGAGUCAUUACAGUUAAACAUGGAUUAUAAGUGAAAUAUACGCGUAAGAGAAGAUUUUCUCUCGAAAAAACGAACUGUCAACACGGCAUGGAACUGGGAUAUUCGUAUCAAAGGGCUCUGAAUGCAGGAAAAUGACUGAAUAUUACUUAGUCAACAACACUGGGUUAUGAAGAAUUCCAGCCUGCAUUAAAUACUAUGUUGGAUCCUUGAGAGCGGAUUUGACAGCCAUGUCCAUCCACAAGGCAGUCGCAUCUGAUCGAGAUGAUCACUAAACAUUCUUGAUGGGUAAAGUACCUGAAGGGGCAUGAAAACCAAAUCAGCAUUGACUCAGCAUUGAGUAGUUAUCAUCUGUGCACACACUUCAAGUACAAAGCAUGGGAACAGACCAAACUUCAAAUGUUGAAGAGUGAAGAAUUAUUGUGAAAAAAACUAAUUGUUAGAAUACCAAUGACAAAAUAAAACAGAUAUACAUCAAAUUACCCACAGAGAUUGUUUACAUGUUAUAAUAUUAAAAAAAAACAUUAGUUGAGAACUUUCACUCUGAUAUUUUUGGAGGGGCGAGCCCACUAAGUGUUCUUGUUUCUUCAUAUAUUUUAGU